AGAGAAUUUCAGCUUUGAUUCAGAGUCCGAAGGAUUUUGCGCUGAGACAAGGCGGCAAAUGAAGCGAAGGAAGGAGCAUACUGAAGUAUGUGACUGACUUUCGCGAAUGCAGCCGACGCAGUAUCA
rnacentral:rRNA from 1 species